GACGUAGGGCGCGAGCGUUGUCCGGAUUUAUUGGGCGUAAAGAGCUCGUAGGCGGCUUGUCGCGUCGUCCGUGAGAACCCGGGGCUCAACUCCGGGCUUGCGGGCGAUACGGGCAGGCUAGAGUUCGGUAGGGGAGACUGGAAUUCCUGGUGUAGCGGUGAAAUGCGCAGAUAUCAGGAGGAACACCGGUGGCGAAGGCGGGUCUCUGGGCCGAUACUGACGCUGAGGAGCGAAAGCGUGGGGAGCGAACAGG
rnacentral:rRNA from 1 species